GACGAACGCUGGCGGCGCGCUUAACACAUGCCAGUCGAACGGAAAGGCCUGCUUUCCCUUGUGGAUUGCGGGUACUCGAGUGGCGAACGGUUGAGUAACACGUGAGUGAUCUGCCCCCAACUUGGGUAUAAGCCAGGGAAACUGGGUCUCAUUCCCGAUAGGACUGCAGGGUGGUGCCUGUGGUGGGAAACGAUUUUCUAGUGGUUGCGGAUGAGCUCGCGGCCUAUCAGCUUGUUGGUGGGGGAAUGGCCUACCAAGGCGGCGACCGGCAGACGGCCUGGGAGGGUGGACGGCCGCAUGAGGACUGGGACACGGCCCAGGCGACUGAGGGAGGGAGCAGACGGGAACAUUGGACAGUGGGAGGGAGCCUGACGCAGCGACGGCGCGUGGGGGAUGACGGCCUUGGGGGAGUAAUCUCCUUUCGAGCGCGGGGAAGCCAUCUGGUUGGAAAGGUAGUGACGGUAGUGGUAGAAUAAGCACCGGCUAACUACGUG
rnacentral:rRNA from 1 species